UGGGGAAUAUUGCACAAUGGGGGAAACCCUGAUGCAGCGACGCUGCGUGAGCGAAGAAGGUUUUCGAAUCGUAAAGCUCUGUCCUAUGGGAAGAUAAUGACGGUACCAUAGGCGGAAGCCCCGGCUAACUACGUGCCAGCAGCCGCGGUAAUACGUAGGGGGCAAGCGUUGUCCGGAAUCACUGGGCGUAAAGGGUUCGCAGGCGGAAAUGCAAGUCAGUUGUGAAAGGCAGAGGCUCAACCUCUGUAAGCAAUUGAAACUGUAUUUCUUGAGAUGUGGAGAGGCAAGUGGAAUUCCUAGUGUAGCGGUGAAAUGCGUAGAUAUUAGGAAGAAUACCGGUGGCGAAGGCGACUUGCUGGACACAAACUGACGCUGAGGAACGAAAGCGUGGGUAGCAAACAGG
rnacentral:rRNA from 1 species